rnacentral:lncRNA from 1 species
GUAGAGGUAGUACAUUUUGCUUGUAAUGUUGUACGGUGGUUUUCAGAAAACCUAGGCCUGCUGGGCUGUUAGCGUUAUUUUCUUCUCUAUCCUUGCUUCACCCUCAUCACCACUCCAGACCACCCCUUCAUCCCUACGUCAACCAAAACACUCAUCUCUUCCCUUCCUCCUCUUAUAUCAGACUCAAAAUUGACAUUAGGGUUUACUUAUCGAAGAUGGGGGACGACCAUAAGCUCGGAGAUCCAUUGAUAUGCUGGAAGCGAAGCUUAUCUAUAAACAAGAAACAUCCGGUACGGCAUUCAGAUGAAAUAGAUGGAGAAAGAAAGAGAUGGAGGGAGACGGCGUGAAGGACAAGGAGGCUGACCACCAUCGUUAGAGGGAGGCUUGGCGUUGGCAUCAUCACAUUCAGAUGAAAUAGAUGGAGAAAGAAAGAGAUGGAGGGAGACGGCGUGAAGGACAAGGAGGCUGACCACCAUCGUUAGAGGGAGGCUUGGCGUUGGCAUCAUCACCAUCCACACGCUGGUUGUAUUCCGGCGAACCUAGGGUUCUGCUGUGACUUCCGACGGUGGUGGAUAGGGUCAAAUCAACCACCAAAACCGGCGGCGACUAGGGUUUCGUGGUGUAAGGGGUUGCUGAUGAGAUUCAAAUCCCACUCAGGGAGAUUUUUGUUGAGUAUCUUGAGAGGUAUUGGACACCUCUUCUUCAUCACCAAACGCAUGCUAAAAGCACCAAGAAGAUUGUGCUGAGGUUGCAAGCAUGUGUCCCGGCAUCCAAUUAAGGUUAGCUUUGAAUCUCUUUUGAUGUUUUUUUAUUUACUUUUGUUGUUGUUACUGUUGCUUUUUUUAUGUUUUGUGCAUAGAUGCAAACAUUUUGACAUUGGUGGAGACAAAGGCCAAUGGAACUAAACAAAAAAGAUGCAAACAUUUUGGCAUUGGUGCAGAGAUGCAAACUUUUUGACAUUUGUAUACGUCGUAUGUGUUAAUUCGUCGAAUAACUUGAUUGAUUAGGAAAAUGUAUUUUGCGCAACUUAUGUAACUAACAUGCUUGGUGUUAACAUCCUAAGUUGCGACCAUAAUACAUAUACAAAUCUAGGCAUAAACUCUUGGUUUAACGGAAAUAUAAAUCUAGCCCCCGCCGCAUCGCGGCAGGUUACUUUUCUAGUUGAGUUCUAUUUGGUAGGGGUUCAUUUUCCCAGACAACUAUAGCAUUAAAUGAUUAUUUAUUU